CAGAGUUAUACAACUCCCAUACCAUUUGUCAACGUUACUCAGUUAUGCCUCGGCGUGAACUGCGUACGGAGGCAGAGGUGGUGUUACCCGGUAGCUUACCCUGUAGGUUACCCGGUAGCGCUACCCUGCACCACUCCCGCGCAGCCCGCCGGUGGUACACUAAACUCUUGUUUUAUUUUAUAUUCUGAGCGUAUUAUUUUAAUAAUUA
rnacentral:misc_RNA from 1 species